rnacentral:rRNA from 1 species
UACGGAGGAUCCGAGCGUUAUCCGGAUUUAUUGGGUUUAAAGGGAGCGUAGGUGGAUUGUUAAGUCAGUUGUGAAAGUUUGCGGCUCAACCGUAAAAUUGCAGUUGAAACUGGCAGUCUUGAGUACAGUAGAGGUGGGCGGAAUUCGUGGUGUAGCGGUGAAAUGCUUAGAUAUCACGAAGAACUCCGAUUGCGAAGGCAGCUCACUGGACUGCAACUGACACUGAGGCUCGAAGGCCAGGGGAGCGAAAGGG